rnacentral:lncRNA from 1 species
CAUUUUGUGAGAACGGUGACAAACGCCAUUUUCUGUGUCUGAACCUGGAACCUCUCCCCAGUGCAUGCUGAGAGCAGAGUGGGGUGCGCACAGGCAGAUCAGAGUAUUGUUGGCUUUGGUCUACUCUAACCAUCUGCUGUUCUUCCCACUAGAUAUGUUUUCAGGUGCAGCAUUUGUAAAAUGCAGGAUAUCAAAUUUACCUUGGCCCCA